rnacentral:rRNA from 1 species
GAUAAACGCUGGCGGCGUGCCUUACGCAUGCAAGUCGAACGCACCUUCGGGUGAGUGGCGGACGGGUGAGUAACACGUACGUGAUCUGUCCCGCACUGGGGGAUAACCGCCCGAAAGGGUGGCUAAUACCGCAUGUGGUCCCUCGGUUGCGGCCGAGGGAGUAAAGCUCCGGCGGUUCGGGAGGAGCGUGCGGCGGAUUAGCUAGUUGGUGGGGUAAAAGCCUACCAAGGCAACGAUCCGUAGCUGGUCUGAGAGGACGGCCAGCCACACGGGGACUGAGACACGGCCCCGACUCCUACGGGAGGCAGCAGCGAGGAAUCUUGGUCAAUGGGCGAAAGCCUGACGCAGCCAUGCCGCAUGAAUGAUGAAGGUCUUAGGAUUGUAAAAUUCUUUUACCAGGGACGAUAAUGACGGUACCUGGAGAAAAAGCCCCGGCUAACUUCGUGCCAGCAGCCGCGGUAAGAC